GGUUGAGGCAAUAUAAAGAAAUAAGGAGGAAAAAGCUGCUGGGGGUUCACAAGAAAUCAAUGAGUUUCUCAGAACUGGUCAAUGGAAAAAGCAGACAUAUACAGUAUGCGUUACACACACAGCAGGUGCAAUGUGGGGCCUCGUCAUUGUUGGGUGAGAUGCGGGAGACUCCAUGCCAUAGGAGUGAUGACAAAGCAUGGCCGAUCCAAGCCAUGGUGUCUCCCAGCCGGCUGGGGAGUGUCAGCAGAUCUGCAUUAUGAGCUAGCGGAGGCUCGUCGAGGCCUAGGCUGAGCUGCCUUUAGUGCCUGACCCUCACUGGGGAGAGCAACCAGAAGAUAAAAGUGAAGGAUCAUCCAAUGCUCUGCUGGAAAAGGCAGCUCUGCAAGAGCAGGAGGUCUGGAGGAGACAGCAGAAAGACUGAACACAACCGGAAUUUGGUCACACUUCAAGUAAAGGAUUAUUAAUUACCAAGGGCAUGAGGAGACACCUUAGAGAAAGUAAAUGCAUGUAUUCGACAGAGUAUAAAAGCAGGAUAAGCGUUUGACAGACUGUGAAGGAAAGAUUAUACAACAUUCUUUAUUCCAUCAACAAAGGAUUAUUUCAUCAGUUCAGUUAUUAAGGGUUGCUGUCAAUUGGUAUUUUCCUCUCUGUGCCUGCAGCGAUCUGAAGGACAAACUUGACACUAUUCUGCAAGAUACCAAUUUCUUUGUUUCCUUUUCAGUUUAUUUAUUUUUUAUGUUAUUCUUGUUUAAAUGGGUUCUCCAUGUGACCCUGCACUGGGCACCUGGCUGUAAGAUGGAUAGAUGUAUGUAUGGAUGGAUGCAGAGUCAGGGAUGGGCUCCCUCAAACCAGUGCCAACCCAACCUCGGUCAACACUGAUGCCCUCCAUGAAAAUCUUGAGCCUAACAAUCAGAUUUGUUUCUGUGGAUGGAUGGAUAGUUUGACUUCCUUUUGUGUCUGUACGGUUUGUAUUGC